rnacentral:rRNA from 1 species
GACGAACCGUGCGAACGUUGUUCGGAAUCACUGGGCUUAAAGGGCGCGUAGGCGGGCUGCCGAGUCCGGGGUGAAAUCCUCCCGCUCAACGGGAGAACGGCCCCGGGUACUGGCGGCCUCGAGGCGGGUAGGGGCGUGCGGAACACUGGGUGGAGCGGUGAAAUGCGUUGAUAUCCAGUGGAACUCCGGUGGCGAAGGCGCUGCUCUGGGCCGAAACUGGACGCUGAG